rnacentral:rRNA from 1 species
GUAUGGGAGUGAGAAUGUUGGCAUGAGUAGCGAGAUGUGGGUGAGAAUCCCACAGGCCGUAAACCCAAGGUUUCCAGGGGAAGGUUCGUCCGCCCUGGGUUAGUCGGGACCUAAGCUGAGGCCGAAAGGCGUAGGUGAUGGACAACAGGUUGAUAUUCCUGUACUACCGAUAACCGUUUGAGAGAAGGGAUGACACAGUAGGAUAAGCUAAGCACACUGUUGGUUAUGUGUGCCCAAGCAUUGAGGCAGUCAAAGUAGGCAAAUCCGCUUUGAUAAUGCUGGGAUGUGAUGGGGAGCGAAAUUUAGUAGCGAAGUAGCUGAUUUCACACUGUCAAGAAAAGUCUCUAUCGAGGUUAAAGGUACCCGUACCGCAAACCGACACAGGUGGGUGAGGAGAGUAUCCUAAGGCCAGCGAGAGAACUGUUGUUAAGGAACUCGGCAAAAUGACCCCGUAACUUAGGGAUAAGGGGUGCCACCAUCAGGUGGCCGCAGAGAAUAGGCCCAAGCGACUGUUUACCAAAAACAUAGGUUUCUGCUAAGUCGCAAGACGAUGUAUAGGAGCUGACGCCUGCCCGGUGCUGGAAGGUUAAGGGGAUCUGUUAGAGCAAUCGAAGCAGUGAACUUAAGCCCCAGUAAACGGCGGCCGUAACUAUAACGGUCCUAAGGUAGCGAAAUUCCUUGUCGGGUAAGUUCCGACCCGCACGAAAGGCGUAACGAUUUGGGCACUGUCUCAACAACAGACUCGGUGAAAUUGUAAUUCCGGUGAAGAUGCCGGAUACCUGCGACAGGACGGAAAGACCCCAUGGAGCUUUACUGUAGCUUGACAUUGGGUCUUGGUACUACAUGUACAGGAUAGGUGGGAGGCUUUGAAACCAGGACGCCAGUUUUGGCGGAGCCAUCCUUGGGAUACCACCCUUGUAGUACUGGGACUCUAACCAUAGGCCAUGAAUCUGGUCUUGGGACACUGUCAGGUGGGCAGUUUGACUGGGGCGGUCGCCUCCCAAAAGGUAACGGAGGCGCUCAAAGGUUCUCUCAGUACGGUCGGAAAUCGUACGUAGAGUGUAAAGGCAAAAGAGAGCUUGAUUGCAAGACAUACAGGUCGAGCAAGGAUGAA